AGCAGCCGCGGUAAUUCCAGCUCCAAUAGCGUACAUUAAAGUUGUUGCAGUUAAAAAGCUCGUAGUUGAAUUUCGGGAUUGACGUGAUGGUCAUGCCUUAAGGGGUAUGAACUGUUACAGUUGAUUUCUCACCUUCUGGAGAAACUUGAUGUCCUUUAUUGGGUGUCUUGCGGAUCCAGGACCUUUACCUUGAAAAAAUUAGAGUGUUUAAAGCAGGCAUUUUUGCUCGAAUACAUUAGCAUGGAAUAAUAGAAUAGGACGGCAUGGUUCUAUUUUGUUGGUUUCUAGGAUCACCGUAAUGAUUAAUAGGGAUAGUUGGGGGCAUUAGUAUUCAAUUGUCAGAGGUGAAAUUCUUGGAUUUAUUGAAGACUAACUACUGCGAAAGCAUUUGCCAAGGAUGUUUUCAUUAAUCAAGAACGAAAGUUAGGGGAUCGAAGACGAUCAGAUACCGUCGUAGUCUUAACCAUAAACUAUGCCGACUAGGAAUCAGACGAUGUUAAUUUUUAAUGACUCGUUUGG
rnacentral:rRNA from 1 species